rnacentral:lncRNA from 1 species
CUAGAAUGGUCAAAUUCAUAGAGAUCAACAGUGGCAUGGUGGUUGUCAGGGGCUGAAGGAGGUGAGAACGGGCUUCUCCUCCAACUGGAUGGCUCCAGUUCUAUACAUGAAACCCUGACCUUUAGAAGCACCACUGACGGCUACUUCAACUUAUACCUCCGUGUUUCCAGUCCAUGAUGAAUUUUUGGGAAAGAGAGCUCUUUUCUCACAGUUGAAAACACUGGCAGCCUGCAGAUGUGGAAGUCUCAGCUGGGAAACAUGAAAUCUUUCGAUAUCCCAAAAGCACACACCUUGGAAGAUAAACUUUACCCAUGACUAACUAAAGUCAUUCUUAAGAGAAAAUUAUGGAGAGGAUUAACAUGCUUCAUCCCUUUCUCUCAGCUUCCUGAUUAGGACCUUCUAGAGUUACAUAAAUCACUUCUUGCUCUAGCCAGCCUGACUCCAAGCAUCAACACACCAUUGUUGCCUGGGCAUUUUUUCAGCCUAGCCAAUAAAAACUCCCAAGUCAUCCUGGAACUUUUGGAGAUGACUGAGAUGCAAGAAAAAAAACACGGUAGACUUUAACAAACUGUACAACUGGGGACAACCAGCGGGAAGGUUUUGGAAGGCUGGGGGUAAAGAGGUGGCCUGACCAUAAUUAAGGGCAAGUCCUGCCAGCAAACCCGUGCCCAUUUUAAGAGAGGGAUGGCGGUUUUCCCAGGCGGAAGCUGGGUGCCAGGGCUCAUUCCAUAGACAAAUGCUGUCCUCUCUCCCCUCCUUAAAAUGAACAUUGUCAGGAACAGGAAGGGCACAGGCGUGGUUCUGGAAAGAUCUCAGUUCCAGUCCCAGCUCAUCGUUUGUGCCUAUUUCCUCAUCUGUCAAAGAAAGAUAUCCCAGGACCCUGCCUGUCGCAAAAGCACCAUGAAGAUAAAGUAAGAUCAUGGACAAAGGACUUUGUAAAGCAAUUUAAAAGUUGUAUGUGUGCUACAUGCCAGGCACUGUGCUAAAGGCCAUACAUGUUUUAACUAAAUUCUUGCGGCAGUCUUCUAAGGGAAGUAUUAUUUCCACUGCGCAAAGGAGAACACCAGGAUUCACUGGCAUUGUUAAUAUUUGCUGGAAGUUUAAAAAACCAAAUAAAUGUCUGAAAAGUAAAUGUUCAAAAUG